rnacentral:misc_RNA from 1 species
AACAUUGCUUGGCUUGAGAUCACAAUGAACUAUUGGAGUUUCACAAUGAUGAUGGAGAUACUCAAUUGCUGAAGCAACAUCAAUGGCAAUAUUUAGUCUUUGGGGAACACUUAAAGUCCUUGGCACUUCAUCUAAUCCAACAGUUGGAUGCAACCAAUCAUCUAAGCAUCCAUUGACCAUGAACUCAUAAACCAAAGCUUUGAAAUCAUUACCAUGAUAAUCAACACUUGAACAGGCUGUGAGCACUUUGACAAUAUUUCGAUGUCUAACAUUCCGUAAGACCUCACAUUCAGCUAUAAAGUUCUUUGAAGCUUCUCGAUUCAUGAGCUUAAACACCUUCACCGCAAUCACAAUUCCUUCUCGAUCAAGAAUUCCUUUAUAUACUGACCCAAAGCCACCUGUACCAACUAAAUUAUCUGAAGAGAAUCCAUUAGUAGCUUUGAGAAGACUUUGAUAAGACAACUUCAAUAGCUCCUUCCCAUGAGAUGUUGACGAAGACUCUCUUUUUCUCUUUCUUGAUAGGCACAGAAGGAAACAAAUUAGCGCAAGCGUUGCACCUAUAAGCACAGAAACUAUUGAGAUUAUAAUCUUCAUUGUUAUAGUCAAUCCCCUCUUUGACUGCUGAAGCUUACAUGGAGGUAGCCUCAAAUUAGGCAUGCCACCACAAAGAUUUUUAUUUCCUUCAACCGAUGCGGCACUUGCGUUCUUGAAAACUCCUUCUAUUGGUACUGUACCUUCAAAGUCGUUAUAAGACAAAUCCAACAACUCUAAUAAACUAAACCCCUUCAGGAACUCUGGAAUCUUGCCUGACAACAUGUUGUGAGAAA